rnacentral:lncRNA from 1 species
GUGGAGAAGAAGGUUGUGACAUCAGCCCCUAAGCUCAGCUACCUGUGAAGUUUCUGCAGGAGUGAGGAGGGAGCAGCUACGGAGCAGACGCAUGCAGCAGCUGUGAGACUUGACCGGAAGGACAAGGCAGGAAGCCGCUGGUGGAGUAGGCGAUCGAAAACUGUUUCUCAGUUCCUCGGAGACAUGGCUGUUCAUGCGGCUCUUCUGCGUGACCUUUCAGAGUCUCGGCGAAAACCUGGGCAAGGAGAAAACUUACUUUUAACAAACUCAUAUUUGGCUCAAUAAAAAAAUGCAGUGAAUUUCCAUAGAAAUGAUUCCUUGGUUGCUGCCAGGCGUAUUUGUGGAGGCUAAGUAGGAUGCCUACCCACUGGCUCGUGAGCUCAGAGCUGCAGGAACGCCGUCCCCCUCACCUCCUGCAUUCUGAGGACUCUUAGGACUUGGAGGUGUAACUGUGUUGCAGAAGAACUCCUUGUUCCAGCUCCUACAGAGACAAUGCCAUUUUGGAAACAUUGUACCAUGGUGCAGAGAGGAAGUAUUGCAAAUAUUACCCUGAGAGAGGCUUUAAGGUGGAAUGAUUGAUUUCUUUUUGUGAACUCACGUAAAACACUUCUUUGUGCUCCCUCUCAAAUCUUAUUUAUUACUACUGCAUAUUGAUAAUGCGGGAGAUUUUAUUGGAGGCCUAUAUCGAGAUGUGCUAACUAUAUGAAGAAGGCUUUAGAUGAGAAACAAGUGAAAAUUUUCAACUUUGGAGAAAAGGUAAAAACUUAGACUUUUCUUGUGUCUAGUUUUACUUGAAGAUUUUUAG